GAUGAAGAACGUAGCGAAAUGCGAUAAGUAAUGUGAAUUGCAGAAUUCAGUGAAUCAUCGAAUCUUUGAACGCACAUUGCGCCCCUCGGUAUUCCGUGGGGCACGCCUGUUCGAGCGUCAUUUACACCCUCAAGCGCAGCUUGGUGUUGGGCGUCUGUCCCGCUCUCCGUAGCGCGGACUCGCCUCAAAGUCAUUGGCGGCGGUCGUGCCGGCUCCUCGCGCAGCACAUUUGCGCUUCUCGGAGGCCCGGCGGAUCGGCAUCCAGCAAGCUACUUUUUAUGACUUGACCUCGGAUCAGGUGAGGAUACCCGCUGAACUUAAGCAUAUCAAUAAGCGGAGGA
rnacentral:misc_RNA from 1 species